UACGUAGGGGCCGAGCGUUGUCCGGAAUCAUUGGGCGUAAAGAGCGUGUAGGCGGCCACUUAAGUCCUGCGUGAAAUCUUGCGGCUCAACCGCAAGCGGUCGUGGGAAACUGGGUGGCUAGAGUGCGGGAGAGGAGAGUGGAAUUCCCGGUGUAGCGGUGGAAUGCGCAGAUAUCAGGAAGAACACCCGUGGCGAAGGCGGCUCUCUGGAACGCAACUGACGCUGAGACGCGAAAGCGUGGGGAGCAAACAGG
rnacentral:rRNA from 1 species